rnacentral:rRNA from 1 species
GACGAACGCUGGCGGCGUGCUUAACACAUGCAAGUCGAACGGAAAGGCCCUGCUUUUGUGGGGUGCUCGAGUGGCGAACGGGUGAGUAACACGUGAGUAACCUGCCCUUGACUUUGGGAUAACUUCAGGAAACUGGGGCUAAUACCGGAUAGGAGCUCCUGCUGCAUGGUGGGGGUUGGAAAGUUUCGGCGGUUGGGGAUGGACUCGCGGCUUAUCAGCUUGUUGGUGGGGUAGUGGCUUACCAAGGCUUUGACGGGUAGCCGGCCUGAGAGGGUGACCGGCCACAUUGGGACUGAGAUACGGCCCAGACUCCUACGGGAGGCAGCAGUGGGGAAUAUUGCACAAUGGGCGGAAGCCUGAUGCAGCAACGCCGCGUGCGGGAUGACGGCCUUCGGGUUGUAAACCGCUUUCGCCUGUGACGAAGCGUGAGUGACGGUAAUGGGUAAAGAAGCACCGGCUAACUACGUGCCAGCAGCCGCGGUGAUACGUAGGGUGCGAGCGUUGUCCGGAUUUAUUGGGCGUAAAGGGCUCGUAGGUGGUUGAUCGCGUCAGAAGUGUAAUCUUGGGGCUUAACCCUGAGCGUGCUUUCGAUACGGGUUGACUUGAGGAAGGUAGGGGAGAAUGGAAUUCCUGGGGGGAGCCGUUGGAAUGCGCAGAUAUAAGGGAGGAACACCAGUGGGGAAGGGCGGUUCUUUGGGCCUUUCCCUACCGGUGAGAAGCGAAAGGCGUGGGGAGCGAACACGGCUUAGAUCCCCUGGUAGUCCCCGCUGUAAACGGUGGGUACUAGGUGUGGGGUCCAUUCCACGGGUUCCGUGCCGUAGCUAACGCUUUAAGUACCCCGCCUGGGGAGUACGGCCGCAAGGCUAAAACUCAAAGGAAUUGACGGGGCUCCGCACAAGCGGCGGAGCAUGCGGAUUAAUUCGAUGCAACGCGUAGAACCUUACCUGGGUUUGACAUGGAUCGGGAGUGCUCAGAGAUGGGUGUGCCUCUUUUGGGGUCGGUUCACAGGUGGUGCAUGGCUGUCGUCAGCUCGUGUCGUGAGAUGUUGGGUUAAGUCCCGCAACGAGCGCAACCCUUGUUCACUGUUGCCAGCACGUUAUGGUGGGGACUCAGUGGAGACCGCCGGGGUCAACUCGGAGGAAGGUGGGGAUGACGUCAAGUCAUCAUGCCCCUUAUGUCCAGGGCUUCACGCAUGCUACAAUGGCUGGUACAGAGAGUGGCGAGCCUGUGAGGGUGAGCGAAUCUCGGAAAGCCGGUCUCAGUUCGGAUUGGGGUCUGCAACUCGACCUCAUGAAGUCGGAGUCGCUAGUAAUCGCAGAUCAGCAACGCUGCGGUGAAUACGUUCCCGGGGCU